UCUUGAAAGCCUGCCUGUCUAGGAAUUCCCGCUUCAGUGCAGCAGGAAGUACGUUGUAUGGAGCACACCUUUUGCACACCUUUUUCCAGAUGAUGCAGAGAUGCUGUUUGAUUGCUCCCGGUACAGAGCUGGUAACUGCAUC
rnacentral:lncRNA from 1 species